UUAAGUUCAGCGGGUAUCCCUACCUGAUCCGAGGUCAAGUUCAGAAGACGGGGCUUGAUGGACGCUGGUUUCGUGCGGACUCCAGGAAGCGCGAACAGUGCUGCGCGAUUAGGAGGCCCGGCAAGACCGCUGCCAAUACCUUUGAGGCGAGUCCGUGCGGGCAAGCCGCGUGGGACAGACGCCCAACACCAAGCAGAGCU
rnacentral:misc_RNA from 1 species